GGGCGGUUAGCUCAGUUGGAAGAGCACCUGGUUUACACCCAGGGGGUCGGCAGUUCGAGCCUGUCACCGCCCACCA
rnacentral:tRNA from 1 species